rnacentral:tRNA from 3 species
CAAGGCAGUGGAUUUGUGA